rnacentral:rRNA from 1 species
UGGGGAAUAUUGCACAAUGGGGGAAACCCUGAUGCAGCGACGCCGCGUGAGCGAAGAAGGUUUUCGAAUCGUAAAGCUCUGUCCUAUGAGAAGAUAAUGACGGUAUCAUAGGAGGAAGCCCCGGCUAAAUACGUGCCAGCAGCCGCGGUAAUACGUAUGGGGCGAGCGUUGUCCGGAAUUAUUGGGCGUAAAGGGUACGUAGGCGGCCUUUUAAGUCAGGUGUGAAAGCGUGAGGCUUAACCUCAUUAAGCACUUGAAACUGGAAGGCUUGAGUGAAGGAGAGGAAAGUGGAAUUCCUAGUGUAGCGGUGAAAUGCGUAGAUAUUAGGAGGAAUACCGGUGGCGAAGGCGACUUUCUGGACUUUUACUGACGCUCAGGUACGAAAGCGUGGGGAGCAAACA